rnacentral:rRNA from 1 species
CCUACGGGAGGCAGCAGUGGGGAAUAUUGCACAAUGGGGGAAACCCUGAUGCAGCGCCGCCGCGUGAGUGAAGAAGUAUUUCGGUAUGUACAGCUCUGUCAGCAGGGAAGAAAAUGACGGUACCGGACCCAGAAGCCCCGGCUCACUACGUUCCAGCCGCCGCGGUAAUAAAUAGGGGGCCAGGGUUAUCCGGAUGUACUGGGUUGAAAGAGCGCGUAGACGGCAGGGCAAGUCUGGAGAGAAAGGCGGGGGCUACACCCCCGGACUGCUGUGGAAACUGCAGGCUGGAGUGCAGGAGUGGUAAGUGGAAUUCCUAGUGUAGCUGUGGAAUGCGUAGAUAUUAGGAGGAACACCAGUGGCGAAGGCGGCUUACUGGACUGUAACUGACGUUGAGGCUCGAAAGCGUGGGGAGCAAACAGGAUUAGAUACCCGAGUAGUC